GAAAUAGGAAGGGUGACAUUGUUACUCAGCUUUAGUCAAGGUCUGUCGCUGGAAAAGGCAUGUCAGAUCCCCUUCAGGAGUGCAAAUCACCGCUCUGAACUGGAGUUUGGUGUAUCCAGGCUUUCACUCCUGCGAGCUAGAGCCGUCCACUGGUUGUUGUUCUGGUCCUUGGGUCCUCUAAGUCUUCAGUCUGUCCCCGACUGGAAGCGGGGAAGGGGAGAGGAGGGGGGAAAGGCAGAGGUUCCUCUGUGGGAAAAGAAGAGCUGGAAAGAACAAACUUAGGCAAGGUUAGCAAAACUAGCCCUAGGUGUUAAACACAGUGUUUAAUUUCCGUGUCCUGUUCUAACCCAGUGGGGGGAGUCCCUAGAACAGAAGUUUGGGUUUCCCAUAGACAAUUUCAAAAGGGUUCAGUGUGAGCCCACAUCUAGGGGCUACCCUGAUCCCUAAUAGGCAAGAGGAGGCACAUGGUCUCGUUGCAAAUGUGCCUCCUGACAGCUUUGCCCAAGUUUUCUCCAAGGUGUGGCUCAUGUCCGUUUCCCAGUUCCAGUAGACAGGGAUUCAGGAACCCUGUACUCUCCAUCGGACCUGCAGUGCUUGACUGACUUUCUAGGUGACUUCAGAUAUAAAUGAUGGCUGUUCUGAAUACUGUUAGGGAGUCCGAAUCUGGGAAUUAAUUCCUUGAGUUUUCACCUUUUCGAUUCUAGUCAGGUAUGUCUCAACCCAUUAGGAAAAGG